ACGAAUGGACUUGACUGUCUUUGCCUGGU
rnacentral:piRNA from 1 species